rnacentral:rRNA from 1 species
GCUUAACGCGAAGAACCUUACCAAGGCUUGACAUAUACCUGAAAAGGCUGGAAACAAUCUCCCCGCAAGGCAGGUAUACAGGUGGUGCAUGGUUGUCGUCAGCUCGUGUCGUGAGAUGUUGGGUUAAGUCCCGCAACGAGCGCAACCCUCGUUCUAUGUUGCCAGCACGUAAUGGUGGGAACUCAUGGGAUACUGCCGGGGUCAACUCGGAGGAAGGUGGGGAUGACGUCAAAUCAUCAUGCCCCUUAUGUCUUGGGCUUCACGCAUGCUACAAUAGCCGGUACAAAGGGCUGCAAUACCGUAAGGUGGAGCGAAUCCCAAAAAGCCGGUCCCAGUUCGGAUUGAGGUCUGCAACUCGACCUCAUGAAGUCGGAGUCGCUAGUAAUCGCAGAUCAGCAACGCUGCGGUGAAUACGUUCCCGGGUCUUGUACACACCG